rnacentral:lncRNA from 1 species
AAUUAGGUAAAGCCUAAACUACACUACAUCAUUUCACAAUUUCACAUUCUCCGGAGUCGACUCUAAGAACUCAUCUCCGAAAUCCAAUGCUAUCCAAAUUUCAAAAUAUACCAUCUUUAGCCGCAUGGAUCCUAAAGAAUUUCAGCUUUAUCCCUUCCAAAAUGCUCUGCAUCCUUCCCAGCGAAACAAUAUCAUUUCCAACGUUUUCCCAUUCUCCAGCAUCCGCGGUUGAUCCCAUGUGAAGUCUCAAAUCCCGCUCCACGGACAACGCUCACGUGUGCAUGGCCUCCGCGUUGGCCUCUUCCGGAUCACUCCCAACGGCGGAUCAGAUCAACUCUGAGAACAAGCUUAUCCUCUUCCCAUCGUAUCCACGUCAACAAACCUCCCAUGCUAGCCUUCCCCUGUUCCACGACAUUCACCCAGAACCAAUCCCAUCCCAGUUUCUCCGCUAGAUUCCCUCCAUCCAGAUCCUCUCAGUCCACGCUCGCAUUUCAUCUCCCAAGUCAUUCAAAGCCAACUUCAUAUCAUCCUUCCCCGAUCCGUGAAUGCAUCCCAGCACCCCACGUAUCUCCUCCAUCCUCCCACGGAUAAACCCAGCAUCUCAACCUUCCGAGAUCCUCCCAAACGGAACAAAGUCCUCCACAUCUUUCUUUGCUUCGGAAUUAAGUUCCAGAUUCAUCUAAACUUCUCCCGCGAUGCAGAUCAAGCUUCCGGCACCUUCACUCCCAACGCCCGGCUGCCGAAUCCCAUGAAUCAUUCCUUGUUUCACGCAUCUUCAUCCCGUUCAAAAUUCAUUUCCCAGCAUCCUCAUCCUCUUCCCAUCGGUUUCCACUCCCCAGUCUAUCCACAGAUAAGCUCCAUCUUCUCUUCAUCACAGAACAGAGCCAUAAUCUUCUUCCAGAUUCGUUUCAUCCAUAUCCCGCUGCCAGCCAGGAUAGCUCCCGUAUCCCAUGAAACAAAAAAAAAAAAAGAAAAACCAAGCCUUGCAUCCUUAUCCAGCCAACGGCAGUACUUCCAAACUUCCCNN